ACUUCAGGUCGAUGAAUACUGAUUUGACUUUCCAACCCUACUCGGCGAGCCCAAGACUGCUGGUAUGUGGGGUGUUCACCUCGGGCUGCUUCCAAUCUCUUUCAUCAUGCUCCGAUUAGUGGUCGACUUGAACAUCGACAUCGACCAAAUAGCUGGUGGUCAAGUAAGGUAGCCAUACAGUUACAUCGAGUCACAUCCAGUCGCAUCAUCUUGAGGUCAUACCCUAAGUGGUCUGCUUCGUGCCAUG
rnacentral:lncRNA from 1 species